rnacentral:lncRNA from 1 species
UCUGUAGGUGUGCGGAUCAGUAUCAGUAUCUGCUGUCUGACUGGGGCUUUAACCUACCUGUGUUUCAGAACGAGAAGGACCAACCACAGGCUGUGGUGAACCCCUACGGCUCAGAAUACAUGGAGCAAAACAAAGGAGCCUGUGCUCUCACUGGGGACGAGUUCAGUCUGUUGACAUACAACAAGGAGACCCUGCUGGAGGACAGCUGGCCAGAGCAGAAUCCGGACAGUCUUGUUGACGCUGGCCCGGCUGACAGGAAACAGGUCAGUCUGUGUUUCUGCCUCUGUCUGUCCUCCCCCGACCUUCCUGACCAGCAGGGAGUCAGGGUGUCUGCAGGUGUAUCAGUCAGUCUCCCACUCUCUUCAGCUCCGAGAUGAGGCUUUUUAUAAGGGCGCCCUAUGACUGGAUUGCACUUAGUCUGCACCAACGUCUGC